GAUGAACGCUGGCGGCGUGCCUAAUACAUGCAAGUCGAGCGAACGGACGAGAAGCUUGCUUCUCUGAUGUUAGCGGCGGACGGGUGAGUAACACGUGGAUAACCUACCUAUAAGACUGGGAUAACUUCGGGAAACCGGAGCUAAUACCGGAUAAUAUUUUGAACCGCAUGGUUCAAAAGUGAAAGACGGUCUUGCUGUCACUUAUAGAUGGAUCCGCGCUGCAUUAGCUAGUUGGUAAGGUAACGGCUUACCAAGGCAACGAUGCAUAGCCGACCUGAGAGGGGGAAUGGCCACCACGGAAAAUGAAACCCGUCCAGACUCCUACGGGAGGCAGCAGUAGGGAAUCUUACGCAAUGGGCGAAAGCCUGACGGAGCAACGCCGCGUGGGUGAUGAAGGUCUUCGGAUCGUAAAACUCUGUUAUUAGGGAAGAACAUAUGUGUAAGUAACUGUGCUCAUCUUGACGGUACCUAAUCAGAAAGCCACGGCUAACUACGUG
rnacentral:rRNA from 1 species